AGGUCACUGAAGGAUCAGAGUCUGUCAUCCUCCCAUGCAAAACAAUACCUGACCUGCCUGAGGACACCACAGUGAAGUGGAUGAGAUUUGACAGAGAAAUCAUGAUGGUCCAUGAGUAUUCAAAUGGAAGUGACCAACUUAAGAACCAAGACGACCUUUACUGUGGUCGCACAAAGAUGAAUGAAGACCUGCUGAGAACUGGAGACCUCAGUCUGACCCUGAAAUACCCCACAGAGAGAGACAGUGGAGGAUACAUCUGCACCAUCUACAGGGACAAAGACAUCCUGAGACAGAAAGUAGUGCUGCGGGUCAAAGAACAGUUUCCAUCCUGGGCCACAGCUCUCCUGGUUCUCCUGGUUCUUCUUGUGGUUUCUGGAUGUCUUCUAUUUUAUUUCCGGCACUAUUUCAUGUCAGUUUAUAAGGUGGAGGUGGAUUCAGGGGUGGAGUCUGUCCAGCUACCCUGUAAAGCCAUAGUUUGCCUGUCAAAAGAUGCGAAAGUGGAGUGGAAGGAAAAUUACAUGAUUGCCAACACACCAAACAACAGGAAGGUCCACGUGUAUGAGAACGGC
ensembl:lncRNA